rnacentral:rRNA from 1 species
GGUGCCCGAGUUGUUAUUUGGAGAGGGCAACUUUGGGGCCGUUCCUUGUCUAUGUUCCUUGCAACAGGACGUCGUAGAGGGUGAGAAUCCCGUGUGGCGAGGAAUGCGGUUCUUUGUAAAGUGCCUUCCAAGAGUCUAGUUGUUUGGGAAUGCAGCUCUAAGUGAAUGGUAAAUUCCAUCUAAAGCUAAAUAUUGACGAGAGACCGAUAGCGAACAAGUACAGUGAUGGAAAGAUGAAAAGAACUUUGAAAAGAGAGUGAAAAAGUACGUGAAAUUGUUGAAAGGGAAGGGCUUUGAUCAGACAUGGUGUUUUGUGCCCUCUGCUCCUUGUGGGUAGGGGAAUCUCGCAUUUCACUGGGCCAGCAUCUGUUUUGGUGGCAGGAUAAAUCCAUAGGAAUGUAGCUUGCCUCGGUAAGUAUUAUAUCCUGUGGGAAUACUGCCAGCUGGGACUGAGGACUGCGACG